UGGCUCUCGCAUCGAUGAAGAACGCAGCGAAAUGCGAUAAGUAAUGUGAAUUGCAGAAUUCAGUGAAUCAUCGAAUCUUUGAACGCAGAUUGCGCCCUUUGGUAUUCCGAAGGGCAUGCCUGUUUGAGUGUCAUAUGACCUUCACCUGAUCGGUUUUCAUUAACCGGUCACGGUGCUUUGGACGUCUUUGCCUUGUGCUGCGCUUGGCUCGUCUUAAAUGUCUAAGUGGAAAAGCGUGAUAAGUCAUUCGCUUCAACCUCCACUCUAAUCUUUUUUCAAGAUCUGACCUCAAAUCAGGUAGGACUACCCGCUGA
rnacentral:misc_RNA from 1 species